rnacentral:lncRNA from 1 species
CCAAAAUCAAAACUUAAUAAUAUUGCAACAGUAAGUUCAAGAAUUUCAAUUUCCAUUCUUCUGAAAAUUACAAUCAAGAGCAUGCCACCACCAGUUAUUUCAAUGUUCAUAGGAGACAUGAUAACCUUUAUCUCUGCCAUCUUUUGAAUUUGUAAAGCUAUCAUGGAUCUUGACGAUGUCCCCACGUCCACAUUUUGCUCCUUCUUUGCACUGUCUGACUACUCUAGCAUAGCUUCAAUAGAAACAAUUUUGGUGGUAUUUUCCAUGCCUCAACUGUGAUAUCAUCGAUUUAGUCAUUGCCAUUUUCAGCGAGACAUACAACCUCGCUAGAUUUAUCCCUUGGUUCAGAAACUUUAGCACAUUCACUUUCGAUUAAUGCUGAUGCAUUCUCGUCCCAAUUGAUUUCAUAACAACUAGUGUUAGUAGUUUUGCUUCAACAGUUCAAAAUUUAAAAAUAGAAAGCCAAUUAAAUAAAUAGCUGAAAAUCAGAACUCGACUGAAUGAACACACACUUGACUUUAACCUAUCAAGGCAGGCCAAGAAAACCUGCCUAGUAUCAAUCCGAUAACAAAUGUAUAAACCCAGAACAUGUGGGAGAGAAUCAAUAGUUGUAUGAGGAUCAUAAAAUAGUCUCAUGUGUUUAAAUAAAUGUACGUUGAUUGAAAUUCACUAAGGUGUAGAUCUAGAAUGGGUCGUGACAUUAUAAGCACUGGAUAGAUUGAGACCUAUCAAUUUCGGUACCGUAUCUAAAACAGCAAAACCAUAAACUCGUGAAUUCAGAUAUGAUUUUACGAUCGCGGUUUUCGUGGUGUCUGUAGUUUGGAUGGAGUAAAGUUUCACUAGAAUAUCAGAUUCGACCCGUUAAGGACAUUCGUCGAACAUCUGAUCCUCAUUGUAUUCUGAAUCGAUGUUACAACUAUUUACAAUUUACAAACUUUAGCAGUUCAACCAUAAUAUGCUCAUCUGAAAUCACCUGAGCUUGGUUGUUCCCUUCAUUCAUUUCCCUCGAACAGACAUCAAGACAAAAGCAGUUGGCAGUCAACGCUGCGUGCACAUUCAUAGAUGCAAGAGUUGCAUUGGCAAUCAACACUGCAUAUACAAUCUUCAUGCCACCUCUGCAAUUGCUUAACACUCAUAAGUAUUCCCGACAUUCUAUUCGUAAGGGCCCGUUUGUUUGCAUUGUUUCGUUGAAUCAAUUCAGCCAAAGUUGAUUCAGCAAAUAUCUUUUUUGAAUUAUUAUCCAAAGUCGAGAUAGGUUCGUUCCUCUGAUACCAAUUGUCAAGACCUAACCUCAAAUUGAUUAACAAAGAAGUUGACAUAAAUGAAACAAUGCAUUUUUUGGGCAAUUUUCUGAUUUCAAUUCAAAAAUGGUAUAAUGGAUAUUGAGUACAAAAAACUGGAAUGCUGAAUUAAACUAAGAUAACUACGAUACGUGGGACUCCAUUGUUAUCCUUGAAUCUGCAAAAAGAAGGAGUUGAGAAUUAGAUUUUCAGAGAGAGAAAAGAAAGAGACGAGAGAGAAGAAACACGAGAAAGAAGCCUAAAAAUACCAUAAGUUUGUUAUGCUAUAGUUCUGAUCUAUUAGGAGUUAUAAACGGUGAGCUAUCAAGUUUAAUCUCAACCGUUCAAGCUCAUUAAUUGCCAAAUGAAUCUACACCCUCCUCGCAUUAUAAUUUCAUUAGCUCUUUUCCUUUAUUUUUCACUUACAACCCGUUUGCUAGGCUGCACUAACUAGAAUAGUCCUUGAAUUAAAACUUAAUCGGAUUCAAU